UACGUAGGUGGCGAGCGUUGUCCGGAAUUACUGGGUGUAAAGGGCGUGUAGGCGGGUUAUCAAGUCUGAUGUGAAAUACCGGGGCUCAACUCCGGGGCUGCAUUAGAAACUGAAUAUCUUGAGUGCAGGAGAGGAUAGCGGAAUUCCCAGUGUAGCGGUGAAAUGCGUAGAUAUUGGGAGGAACACCAGUGGCGAAGGCGGCUAUCUGGACUGCAACUGACGCUGAGGCGCGAAAGCGUGGGGAGCAAACAGG
rnacentral:rRNA from 1 species